GACGAACGCUGGCGGCGUGCCUAAUACAUGCAAGUCGAACGCAGUGGGGACGGGUGAGUAACACCUGGGUGACCUCCCAUCAGAGGGGAUAAAACUUGGAAACAGGUGCUAAACCGAUACUGAUGGAUGGACCCGCGGGGCAUUAGCUAGUUGGUGGGGUAACGGCUCACCAAGGCCACGAUGCAUAGCCGGUCGGAGAGGGUGAUCAGCCACACUGGGACUGAGACACGGCCCAGACUCCUACGGGAGGCAGCAGUAGGGAAUCUUGGGCAAUGGACGAAAGCCUGACCGAGCAACGCCGCGUGAGUGAAGAAGGUCUUCGGAUCGUAAAACUCUGUUGUUAGAGAAGCGGUAUCUAACCAGAAAGCCACGGCUAACUACGUGCCAGCAGCCGCAGUAAUAC
rnacentral:rRNA from 1 species